rnacentral:hammerhead_ribozyme from 1 species
GGCCGAAACGGGGGCACCCGCCCCCGUCUGCCGGUUAGACCGGCACUGAGGAGGCCGACAUCG